rnacentral:rRNA from 2 species
UGUGCCUAAUACAUGCAAGUCGAACGCGUUGGCCCAACUGAUUGAACGUGCUUGCACGGACUUGACGUUGGUUUACCAGCGAGUGGCGGACGGGUGAGUAACACGUAGGUAACCUGCCCCAAAGCGGGGGAUAACAUUUGGAAACAGAUGCUAAUACCGCAUAACAAUUUGAAUCGCAUGAUUCAAAUUUAAAAGAUGGCUUCGGCUAUCACUUUGGGAUGGACCUGCGGCGCAUUAGCUUGUUGGUAGGGUAACGGCCUACCAAGGCUGUGAUGCGUAGCCGAGUUGAGAGACUGAUCGGCCACAAUGGAACUGAGACACGGUCCAUACUCCUACGGGAGGCAGCAGUAGGGAAUCUUCCACAAUGGGCGCAAGCCUGAUGGAGCAACACCGCGUGAGUGAAGAAGGGUUUCGGCUCGUAAAGCUCUGUUGUUAGAGAAGAACGUGCGUGAGAGCAACUGUUCACGCAGUGACGGUAUCUAACCAGAAAGUCACGGCUAACUACGUGCCAGCAGCCGCGGUAAUACGUAGGUGGCAAGCGUNAUCCGGAUUUAUUGGGCGUAAAGCGAGCGCAGGCGGUUUGAUAAGUCUGAUGUGAAAGC